GUACAGGAAAGGAGAGGAUCAAAAGACACUAGCAUCGUCUUUAAAAUCCGAUAUCCUUGCCAUGGUUAGUCAACAGAACAUGGGACUUGAGGCAAGUCUACAUUUGGAAGACCUUAAGGGAUAAAUGCUUGUUCAAGGAUGAGCUUCAUACCGUGAUGAUUUUUCUGGGUCUUCUGUUAGGUCCUGAGUUCAAAGUUUCAGCAAUAGUCUCUUUUGUCUUUGUAUUUGUUUGCAAUUUCAUCUUUGGCUUUCUGCCUUAUGUCGACAACUUUGCAAGCAUUGGAGGUUUCGUAUCAAGGUUCCUUCUUGGAUCUGUGCUUCUACCCAGUAGAAAGCUUGAAGUUUCGUAUCAGGCAUUGAGACUCAUAAACAACCAUCAAGCUCUAACCAUUUGUAUCAAUCCAAAUAUAUUAAGGAUGUUUUAUCAAAAGCUGGAAUGGAAAAUUCAAAAGGAGUCCAUUAAACUCAUUGGCCUUUACAUGCAAACACCACAAAUUCAGAGUUCGUUGGCCUCAUGCACAAAGGUCUUGCUUCCAAUCAAAGAUGUUCCUGAUGGCAAUGAUCCAAUGUUAGGCCGCCAGAAAAUACAAGUGAGACAACUUGCUUGAGAGGGAAAAAAGUGCUGAGUAAAAAGGCUAAAUUGGGUCUAGUAGGUUUGGGUAUUGGCUUCUUAGUCAUCUUGAUAAUUGGGUUGCUCUUGCUCUUCCGAAUCUACAAGAGAAAACGUGGUUAUAAAUUCUUUUAGAAUGCUUAUGUAUGCAUUGGUUGAAAUGUGCUAUAAAACCGAAUAAGGCCAAGAAUGAGAAAGAUUAUGUUAUCCAGUAAUUUGGAAGAAAAAUCACAUCCUUAAAAAUAUAGUAAAUUCCAUCCUAAUAAAAAAUAAUGUGCUAUAAAAUUAUUUCUUAAACAUGAUUUCUCAUGCCUUCAAUCAUCAGAAAAUUAUAGAGAGAGGGAGUCAUCCAAAUCAUCAAAACUUUUCUUUUUAUAGAAUUCAGUGGUCGCAAUGCCAGGUGGAAAUGGAAUGCAAGCAGUGGCACUGAGGGUAAAUAGUAAGUGUUCUAUAAAGUUAAGAUCAAAGGAAUACAGGACACUCUCUUAGACAACACAGGAACACUCAUCUUUGGCAGCCUAAAUCACUCUAUGAGGUAUACAUUAAUGAUUAUGGCCUUGCGAAAAAGUAUAGGGAUCUUUAAACUCGUAGACACAUACCAUACAGGUUUAUUGAUUGAUGUGCCAGUGCAAGUGUAUUCUUUUACUAUAGAGGUUAAGCCUACUAAUUAAGCCUACUAAUCUCUUUGAUGCUCAGAGAUCAGCUGGUGAUAGCAAAGAAUAUCCGAGAAUAAAUAUUUAAGAUUUUUAUGUAAUUAGAUGAUAUUGAAAUAUUAAAGUUAUUUUAUUUUACUUUUUAAAGAAAAACAGUAAUAGUUAUGUAGAACAAUACCAUAUGCAAUU